GCCUAGGCUGCUUGUCUGGACGUGGGCAACGGACUCAUACUUUCGCUGUACAUUCGUUCAGGAGAUUGUAGACCUGAUCAGCCCCCAAUAACUAAGGGAUAGUAUUCACCCGAUACGGUGGGUCCCACGCAGCACCACCACAGCGUCUGGGUGGCACUGAGAGUGAACGAAACGAUUGCCAAUGCCUGCACUGUGCCUGUGCUGGGGAUGGGACCAGGCCCCCUGAGAUCUACAGCUUCCUGUGGAAGAGUUGCGUCACUCUCCAGGGUAGGGUGCCUCAGUUUCCCUGAUGUGUUCCCGCCAGCGGGCAGAAGUGUGUUUAAUGAGUCUCCCGUGGCCAUGGGCAGCAAGAUGGGCUCUCACCCUCCAGUCUGUGACACCACCGUGUUCCCCGCUGAGUUCUCAGAAUCGUAGCUGCAGGUUUUAGGGUGCAGUCAGGAAGCCGGGGGGCUCAUGAUUAGAAUGCUGGGUGCACCAGACCUGGUCCUCAGACCUCUUCCUUAUGUCUUGGUCACUUGGUUUUUUUUAUUUGGAAUAAGGGGGUUGAGUCCCAGGCCUGGCACAGCUCGGUGAGCACGCUCUUGCUGAGCUCCCUCCCAGAACAUUGAACAUUUCCCGAUAGCCUCUCACAGAGUUGCCCAGGCAGAUCUCAAACCUCAAUCCUCCUGCCUCAGCCUUCCGAGCAGCUGGGAUUAUAGGCACCCAGCUUUCAUGCGUGAUUUGGAUGCCAAUUGCUCUGCAGCUCCUGCCCUGCCCCUGCCUGGCUGCAGUGGCCACAAGCUGGCACCAUGAGAGCCUGGCCGUCUGCUGCUCCCAGCCUGCCCUGUGGUGGUCUCCUCACAGGCACCAGGCAGCCCCCAGCCCCAGGACCUUGGCAGCUGCUGCCCCCAGCAUGUGCUUCCCUUAAUCCUUCUUCUGGAUUGUUCUUUUAACAUCUUUAAAUGCCCUGCAGGAGGAUUGUGGCCUUGGGCAGAGUCGGGUGACCUGCUGGGCAAAGGUGAUCGUGUCAGUGGCAAAAACAGCGCCUUGUCCGUUCUCCCCACUUCUAGGCCAGAAGCCAUCAGGGUGGGUGGCUGAGGACAACUGACCCCUGGCGCCCCCUGGUGGUCUCUCAGGAAAACACAGCCUCUUCUGCCGGCAGAGCGGGCUGGGUUUGUACGCAGGAUCCUCCUGCCUCAGCCUCCUGAGUGCUGAGAUUCCAGGCAGGUGCCACCAUGCCUGUUUUGCGAUUGUGAUUCUUGACGAUAAAUGAAAUAAUCCAUGUAAAACGCCGAGCGUGGGGCCGCCCAAUGGGCUUGCUACGAUGACCGCUGUCCAGCCAGAGCUUGCCAGGUGCCCGACCCAGGAGGGG